UGUUGUUUUCCCGUGAGGAUGUUAGCAAGCUAGGUUAAUAAUGCUACUAGUUUAGCUCUCGUUGUCCGAUAGCUAAUAUUCAUACGUAGCCGUUUAUAGUAACGCAUAUUCGGUAUUGUUUGCAUCAUAACUAUUCAGAAUCUUUUAAAGAAGUGUGUUCUUCAUGACCUUUAGUUGCUCAUGUUAUUUAGCUAGCUAGCUAAACUAGCCAGCAAACUGGCUAGGCUAACUUAACCAUCCUCGUAUCCUACCUAGUUCGAAUGCUAAUAAGCUAGCAAGCAAGCAAGCUAUUGUAAGGUUCAACAAGCUAGCUAUUUCGGUAAUUGAAGAUAAGUCUGCUCUGUAGUUUUCGUUUGACGAUCUGCCAACUAAUUUCUGUCAAGCCAUUAUAUAAGCGGUUGUAAAAACCCGAGGCAAAUUGCAAACACAAAGGGGCUACCAGGAUGGUGUGUGAGCUUCUCCUCUCCUCUGUGUGGCUGCUGUUUGUUGUGUUCUGGGUAGAGACCAUCAGUGUUUGGCUUUUCCUCUGUCUGUUUUAUCAGGACAGAGCCUUUUAUCAUUGGGGUGAUGGUGUGUUUGCUGAUGAUCCUGGCCAAAUGUUGUACAUGUUGAGCAGAGUGGAUCGCUCUGGGCACACCCAGACCUGAGGAUGAGGCCUCAUCAUCAGCUGGGAAGGCCAAUAGACCAAAACAUUAGAGAGUGUGAAGAGGAGUGGGGGCCAGCAGUGUUGGGGAGGAAAAAAUAGCAACCCAUCUACUCCUACUGUCUUUUGACAAUCUGUACUGGGUAUGAUGGUUUUUAAAGGUGGGCUGUGACUGAAAAUGGAGAAUUUGCACUGAGCUUGUGGAUGUUUCUGGAAGAAUGCACAGAGGCACAGUAAAUGUAGAAUGUAUUGGUGUUAAAAAUAACUGCCUUAAUUUCUAAUUUUCUGUCCCCUCAAAAAGGGACAAAGAGUAACGCAGGUAAAAUUCCCAUCUCAUGUUCUCAGAUUAGUGGGUUUUUUCAUGGAUGAUUGUAACUAUGAGCUGUGAAUGACAUGCUCUUAUUUUAGGGCUGUGUGAAUUUUAAAAAACGGCUUGAAUUAGCGAAGAUGAUGUACUCCUAUAAAUUAUGGCUCUGUGUCAACCUGUUUCAUUUAAAAAAUCUAUAUACUCUUUACAUUAAGGUUUAGGUCAGGCACGUUUGCUUGUAACUCAAGCAACCACUUUAACCAUUUUAGGCAAAAUACUAUCACCUUGUAAACACUGAAUGUUUUCAGGUGCUCUGAGCUGGAUUGUUUUGUCAUUUCACCUCAGAUCAAUUUGAAAUUAAACCUUUAAUGAAAUCAUGAUUUAUAAAAUAUUGAGACCACAAGAGGAAAAGGUAAGAGAAAGCUUACUCAUUUAGUUCUGGGGUCAAGUUCAAAACUAGAUAUCUUGGCCUAUAACACAACUGAAAAUAUCUCCAGAAACUGGUUUAAGAAUGUUCUGAACAGAUUACGACGACGACUACUACUGAUUCCCUGCUGUCAGUCAACACCCCCAGUGUCUUUAGACACUGCCUCUACUUUCAGAGGGGGUAUACAGUCAGGUCUUUGUGUAGGAGUGUCUGUAGUACAAAAGGAAAUGGCUUUAAUUAAUUAGAGCCCUUAUCUUCCAUAAAAUUUUUAAAAAUUAAAAUACAAUUUAACUUUUAGGAAUUUUUUUUUUGCGUAGGAAAAUAAUGUAUUUGUUAAUAAGGUAUUCUUAUUGUUCAGAUUCACAAGGCUUGUGAAACGAUAUAUGCACUACGGCGGAUCCCACCCACCCGAAUUGGCUUUUAGCGUGGGUAUUUUUGUUUUGUUUUUGCAAAGCAAUAAACCAGUGUAUCUGAAAAAAAUGA